AACGAACGCUGGCGGCGCGCCUAACACAUGCAAGUCGAACGAGAAUCCGGGGCAACCCGGUAGUAAAGUGGCAAACGGGUGAGGAAUACAUGGGUAACCUACCCUUGAGAAGGGAAUAACCCGCCGAAAGGUGAGCUAAAUACCCUAUACGCUAUCUUUUUUUCGAAAAGGAUAGGAUAGCCGGGUCGAGGACCUGGUACUCAAGGAGGGGCUCAUGUCCUAUCAGCUUGUUGGUGGGGUAACGGCCUACCAAGGCUACGACGGGUAGCUGGUCUGAGAGGAUGAUCAGCCACACUGGCACUGAGAUACGGGCCAGACUCCUACGGGAGGCAGCAGUGAGGAAUAUUGCGCAAUGGGCAAAGCCUGACGCAGCGACGCCGCGUGGGGGAUGAAGGUUUUCGGAUUGUAAACCCCUUUCAUGAGGAAAGAUAAAGUGGGUAACCACUUAGACGGUACCUCAAGAAGAAGCCACGGCUAACUUCGUG
rnacentral:rRNA from 1 species